AGUGAACGCUGGCGGUAGGCCUAACACAUGCAAGUCGAACGGCAGCGCAGGAGAGCUUGCUCUCUGAGUGGCGAGUGGCGGACGGGUGAGGAAUACACCGGAAUCUGCCCAGUCGCGGGGGAUAACGUAGGAAAACUUACGCUAAUACAGCAUACGACCUCCGGGUGAAUGCGGGGGAUCGCAAGACCCCUCUCGAUUGGAUGAGCCGAGGUCCGAUUUGCUAGUUGGCGGGGCACUGGCCCACCAAGGCGACGAUCCGUAGCUCGUCUCAGAGCAUGAUCAGCCAGCAUGGAAGUGAGACACGGUCCAGACCCCUACGGGAGGCAGAAGUGGCGAAUCUUGGACCAUGGGCGCAAGCCUGAUACAGCCAGACCGCGUGAGUCAAGAAGGCCUUCGAGUCUUACAGCCCGUUUGUUGGGAAAGACAUCUUUCCGGCUAAUACCCAGCGCGCAUGACGGUACCCAAACUAUAAGCACCGGCUAACUCCGUG
rnacentral:rRNA from 1 species